GACGAACGCUGGCGGCGUGCUUAACACAUGCAAGUCGAACGGAAAGGCCCUGCUUGCAGGGUACUCGAGUGGCGAACGGGUGUGUAACACGUGGGUGUUCUGCCCUCCACUUCGGGAUAAGCUUGGGAAACUCGGUCUAAUACCGGAUAUGAGCCCUCUUUCUUGUGGUGGUUGGUUAGUUUUUUCGGUGUAGGAUGAGCUCGCGGCCUAUCAGCUUGUUGGUGGGGUAAUGGCGUACCUAGGGGGCGACGGGUAGCCGGCCUGAGAGAGUGUAAGGCCACAUUGGGAGUGAGAGAGGGGCCAGAGACCUAAGGGGGGCAGAAGAGGGGAAAAUAGGACAAUGGGGGCGAGCGUGAUGGAGAGACGCGGCGUGGGGGAUGAAGGGGUUCGGGUUGUAAAAACCUAUCGCUAGGGAGGAAGAGUUGGAGUGACGGUAACGAGAAAAGAAGCACCGGCUAACUACGUG
rnacentral:rRNA from 1 species